rnacentral:pre_miRNA from 1 species
AAAAAGUAAAACCCUGAAUUUUUUUGUCUAAUUUUUACUGUCCGUCUUAUAUGAAAUUUUUUUAUAAUUCGUAUUUUUAUUUGUUGUUAGAUGAUAAAACAUGAUUAAUAUUUUAUACGCGACUUGUCUUUUUAAUUUUUUUUAUAAUCUUUUUAAAUAAGACGGACAGUCAAACGUUGGACACGGAAAUC